rnacentral:lncRNA from 1 species
CAAGGUCGCCGACCAGCCAACCGGCGAGGAGGAAGACAAGCGCAUCGAGGUGCCCAUCGCGGCAAACUCAAUCUGACCAUCAUCAGUCUCGCGAGGAGGACGGCGAGAGACCAUGUAUGAGUCGUGGAUCAUCCAACAGACCAUGUUUAGUGUUUGUAAAGAACAUUACGAAAACACGAAAAGGUCUCCAACUCGACCCCGUAUCGAGCACUACUUACUUGUCGGCGGCGGUGCUACAAAUCAAGAGGGAGGAGGGGCUUCUUUCUUCGUUCCCCAAACAAUCUCAUCUCUAGACUCAAGCGCACUGUCCCCUGGAUCUUGAGGCAACCAUGUCGAGCUCGUCGGACACGGCCCAGUCCAGGAAGGGCAAGGCGCCGGCGGCAGCGACCAAGAAGACGACGACGACGGAGGUAACCAAGACGAAGAAGAAAGAGGCGCGAAU